AGCGAACGCUGGCCCCAGGAAAUAACACAUGCAAGUCGAGCGGGCACUUUCGGGUGUCAGCGGCGGACGGGUGAGCAACGCGUGGGAACGUGCCUUCCGGUUCGGAAUAACCCUGGGAAACUAGGGCUAAUACCGGAUACGCCCUUAUGGGGAAAGGUUUACUGCCGGAAGAUCGGCCCGCGUCUGAUUAGCUAGUUGGUGGGGUAACGGCCUACCAAGGCGACGAUCAGUAGCUGGUCUGAGAGGAUGAUCAGCCACACUGGGACUGAGACACGGCCCAGACUCCUACGGGAGGCAGCAGUGGGGAAUAUUGGACAAUGGGCGCAAGUCUGUUUUUUUUCCAUGCCGCGUGAGUGAUGAAGGCCUUAGGGUUGUAAAGCUCUUUUAUCCGGGACGAUAAUGACGGUACCGGAGGAAUAAGCCCCGGCUAACUUC
rnacentral:rRNA from 1 species